rnacentral:rRNA from 1 species
CCUACGGGUGGCAGUAGUGAGGAAUAUUGGUCAAUGGACGAGAGUCUGAACCAGCCAAGUAGCGUGAAGGAUGACUGCCCUAUGGGUUGUAAACUUCUUUUAUAAAGGAAUAAAACGAGGCACGUGUGCCUUUUUGCAUGUACUUUAUGAAUAAGGAUCGGCUAACUCCGUGCCAGCAGCCGCGGUAAUACGGAGGAUCCGGGCGUUAUCCGGAUUUAUUGGGUUUAAAGGGAGCGUAGAUGGGUUGUUAAGUCAGUUGUGAAAGUUUGCGGCUCAACCGUACACUUGCAGUUGAUACUGGCAGUCUUGAGUACAGUUGAGGUAGGCGGAAUUCGUGGUGUAGCGGUGAAAUGCUUAGAUAUCACGAAGAAACCCGAUUGCGAAGGCAGCAUACCGGUGCACAACUGACGCUCAGGCACGAAAGCGUGGGUAUCGAACAGGAUUAGAUACCCUUAUAGUC